rnacentral:rRNA from 1 species
GCUCAGGAUGAACGCUAGCUACAGGCUUAACACAUGCAAGUCGAGGGGCAGCAUGGUCUUAGCUUGCUAAGGCCGAUGGCGACCGGCGCACGGGUGAGUAACACGUAUCCAACCUGCCGUCUACUCUUGGACAGCCUUCUGAAAGGAAGAUUAAUACAAGAUGGCAUCAUGAGUCCACAUGUUCACAUGAUUAAAGGUAUUCCGGUAGACGAUGGGGAUGCGUUCCAUUAGAUAGUAGGCGGGGUAACGGCCCACCUAGUCUUCGAUGGAUAGGGGUUCUGAGAGGAAGGUCCCCCACAUUGGAACUGAGACACGGUCCAAACUCCUACGGGAGGCAGCAGUGAGGAAUAUUGGUCAAUGGGCGAGAGCCUGAACCAGCCAAGUAGCGUGAAGGAUGACUGCCCUAUGGGUUGUAAACUUCUUUUAUAAAGGAAUAAAGUCGGGUAUGGAUACCCGUUUGCAUGUACUUUAUGAAUAAGGAUCGGCUAACUCCGUGCCAGCAGCCGCGGUAAUACGGAGGAUCCGAGCGUUAUCCGGAUUUAUUGGGUUUAAAGGGAGCGUAGAUGGAUGUUUAAGUCAGUUGUGAAAGUUUGCGGCUCAACCGUAAAAUUGCAGUUGAUACUGGAUAUCUUGAGUGCAGUUGAGGCAGGCGGAAUUCGUGGUGUAGCGGUGAAAUGCUUAGAUAUCACGAAGAACUCCGAUUGCGAAGGCAGCCUGCUAAGCUGCAACUGACAUUGAGGCUCGAAAGUGUGGGUAUCAAACAGGAUUAGAUACCCUGGUAGUCCACACGGUAAACGAUGAAUACUCGCUGUUUGCGAUAUACAGCAAGCGGCCAAGCGAAAGCGUUAAGUAUUCCACCUGGGGAGUACGCCGGCAACGGUGAAACUCAAAGGAAUUGACGGGGGCCCGCACAAGCGGAGGAACAUGUGGUUUAAUUCGAUGAUACGCGAGGAACCUUACCCGGGCUUAAAUUGCAGAUGAAUUACGGUGAAAGCCGUAAGCCGCAAGGCAUCUGUGAAGGUGCUGCAUGGUUGUCGUCAGCUCGUGCCGUGAGGUGUCGGCUUAAGUGCCAUAACGAGCGCAACCCUUGUUGUCAGUUACUAACAGGUUCCGCUGAGGACUCUGACAAGACUGCCAUCGUAAGAUGUGAGGAAGGUGGGGAUGACGUCAAAUCAGCACGGCCCUUACGUCCGGGGCUACACACGUGUUACAAUGGGGGGUACAGAGGGCCGCUACCACGCGAGUGGAUGCCAAUCCCAAAAACCUCUCUCAGUUCGGACUGGAGUCUGCAACCCGACUCCACGAAGCUGGAUUCGCUAGUAAUCGCGCAUCAGCCACGGCGCGGUGAAUACGUUCCCGGGCCUUGUACACACCGCCCGUCAAGCCAUGGGAGCCGGGGGUACCUGAAGUGCGUAACCGCGAGGAGCGCCCUAGGGUAAAACU